UACGGGGGGGGUAAGCGUUGUUCGGAAUUACUGGGCGUAAAGGGCUCGUAGGCGGCCAACUAAGUCAUACGUGAAAUCCCUCAGCUUAACUGGGGAACUGCGUGUGAUACUGGAUGGCUUGGAUUUGGGAGAGGGAUGCGGAAUUCCAGGUGUAGCGGUGAAAUGCGUAGAUAUCAGGAGGAACACCGACGGCGAAGGCAGCACUCUGGGCCGGUACUGACGCUGAGGAGCGAAAGCAUGGGGAGCGAACAGG
rnacentral:rRNA from 1 species